GUGUCAUAUGUUCAAUACUAUUUUUAAAUUACAGUAUAGUAUGAUACAUUUCUCUUUCUCUUCUUUUGCAAUUUGUUUAUCCUGCUCUGCUUCCUGAUUCUUCUUGUUUACUACUUGAUCAGUUACAUUGUUUUGUCCUCCAACACCGUCGCCACUCAUCAUCUCCUCUCUGUCUCUUCUUCUAUUCUAUUUUAUAAUCACAGUACGUUGUUUGUUGUACCAUUGUUAUGGUUCCUUUAAUUGUAACUUUUAUCCGCUAACUGUGUUUGUUUAAAAACUUGCGGUCUGCGUCU
rnacentral:lncRNA from 1 species